rnacentral:rRNA from 1 species
AUUGAACGCUGGCGGCAGGCCUAACACAUGCAAGUCGAGCGGAUGAAGGGAGCUUGCUCCUGGAUUCAGCGGCGGACGGGUGAGUAAUGCCUAGGAAUCUGCCUGGUAGUGGGGGAUAACGUCCGGAAACGGGCGCUAAUACCGCAUACGCCCUGAGGGAGAAAGUGGGGGAUCUUCGGACCUCACGCUAUCAGAUGAGCCUAGGUCGGAUUAGCUAGUUGGGGGGGUAAAGGCCUACCAAGGCGACGAUCCGUAACUGGUCUGAGAGGAUGAUCAGUCACACUGGAACUGAGACACGGUCCAGACUCCUACGGGAGGCAGCAGUGGGGAAUAUUGGACAAUGGGCGAAAGCCUGAUCCAGCCAUGCCGCGUGUGUGAAGAAGGUCUUCGGAUUGUAAAGCACUUUAAGUUGGGAGGAAGGGCAGUAAGUUAAUACCUUGCUGUUUUGACGUUACCAACAGAAUAAGCACCGGCUAACUUCGUG